rnacentral:rRNA from 1 species
GUAGAUGGCAAGCGUUGUCCGGAAUUAUUGGGCGUAAAGCGCGCGCAGGCGGUUCUUUAAGUCUGAUGUGAAAGCCCACGGCUCAACCGUGGAGGGUCAUUGGAAACUGGAGAACUUGAGUACAGAAGAGGAAAGCGGAAUUCCACGUGUAGCGGUGAAAUGCGUAGAGAUGUGGAGGAACACCAGUGGCGAAGGCGGCUUUCUGGUCUGUAACUGACGCUGAGGCGCGAAAGCGUGGGGGAGCAAACAGGAUUAGAUACCCUGGUAGUCCACGCCGUAAACGAUGAGUGCUAAGUGUUAGGGGGUUUCCGCCCCUUAGUGCUGCAGCUAACGCAUUAAGCACUCCGCCUGGGAGUACGGCCGCAAGGCUG